CGCGCUAACACAGCAAGUCGACCGAUGAAUCUGGACAGAACCCUCGGGGCCGAAGAUAAGAUGGAUUAGCGGCGGACGGGUGAGUAACACGUGAGUAACCUGCCUUAGACAUUGGGAUAGCCUCGGGAAACCGGGAUUAAUACCAAAUGAAAUCACAUAUGCACAUGCAUAAAUGAUCAAAGCUCCGGCGGUCUAAGAUGGACUCGCGUCCCAUUAGCUAGUUGGUGAGGUAACGGCCCACCAAGGCGACGAUGGGUAGCCGGCCUGAGAGGGUGAACGGCCACAUUGGAACUGAGAAACGGUCCAAACUCCUACGGGAGGCAGCAGUGGGGAAUAUUGCACAAUGGAGGGAACUCUGAUGCAGCGACGCCGCGUGAACGAAGAAGGCUUUCGAGUCGUAAAGUUCUUUUAUAUGGGAAGAUAAUGACGGUACCAUAAGAAAAAGCCCCGGCUAACUACGUGCCAGCAGCCGCGGUAAUACGUAGGGGGCUAGCGUUGUCCGGAAUCACUGGGCGUAAAGGGUUCGCAGGCGGAAAUGCAAGUCAGAUGUAAAAGGCAGUAGCUUAACUACUGUAAGCAUUUGAAACUGCAUAUCUUGAGAAGAGUAGAGGUAAGUGGAAUUUUUAGUGUAGCGGUGAAAUGCGUAGAUAUUAAAAAGAAUACCGGUGGCGAAGGCGACUUACUGGGCUCAUUCUGACGCUGAGGAACGAAAGCGUGGGUAGCAAACAGGAUUAGAUACCCUGGUAGUCCACGCUGUAAACGAUGAGUGCUAGGUAUCGGAAUAAUUCGGUGCCGCAGUUAACACAUAAGCACUCCGCCUGGGGAGUACGUGCGCAAGCAUG
rnacentral:rRNA from 1 species